UUAACCGACUGAGCCACCCAGGCGCCCCCCCUCAACUCUUAUUUUCAUUCCAGUGUUCUUACCAUAGGUUGUAUUAAUUUCAGGCGUAUAAUAUAGCCGUCCAACAAUUCCGUGUCUCAGUGCUCAUCACGACAGGUGCACUCUCGAUCGCUUUCACCUGUUUCACCCAUUCCCCGCCCCCACCCGCCCUCUGGUGACCAGCUGUUUGUUCUCGAGAGUUAAGAGUCUGUUUUUUGGGUCGUGUCUCUCUCUUUUUUCUCUUCUUGCGCUCAUUUGUUUUGUGUCUUAAAUUCCACGUGGGAGUGAGAUCACGGGGCUUGUCUUCACGAUUACCGAACCCUGAAGGCCUGUACCUUGCGUCUGUCUGUCAAACAAUCACUUGGAUUGCUGUCUGGAAUUGUGAGUUGACUUUUCCCCUGGGUUCCGGUUAGUGAGGAUAUUCCAGCUACACAGUAAGCCCUUUGAGGGCCAGGCUCCCGGCUACAAGAUACAUUUUUGCAUUCCGCCCACCAGAGAUGUCCGCGGAGAAUUACACCACCCGUGUAUAGACGAGGAAACCGAAUGUUCAUGAGUCAUUUCUUUAGUUCAGUGUUUUUUCAAAUUGUGGUUGGAAGGAACCAGCGUCAGACUCGGGAAGCUCGCUGAACAGGAAGGUCCCUACGUGUCAGACCUACCGAGCCCGAAUCUGGAGAGGCGGCCUGACCGACAGCAUUGGAAGCACCCUCCUCCAGGCCAUUGUCAGGGAACGUGGUCCACCCAGGCGGAUGUUUGCUUUGCCCAAAGGGUUCUGGCUCCGGCUGGUGAACCAUUCCAGGACUGACGGCACAAGCUGAUUUGCAUAAGUGCCAAAGUCAAGUAAAACUGAAGCUGUAAACCAACCGAAGUAAUUAUGCCGGCGGGCCACGUGGAGCAGGGAAGCAUCUCGGGAUGCGCGGAAUCCCAUUCAUGGCAGCGCGGAGGAAUCGCGUGCUGUGGAGAACAAACAUCUCUCAUCCGGGGACUUGCUCACCAGGGAGAGACUGUCCUCCCGGGUCUAGCCAAUCCUGAAGGAGAGCAAACUACCCUCCAGGGAGCACUCCUUUCACAUACAAACUAACCAAACCAGAGUCUGGAUUCCAAAGCACCCCUCUGUAUGGCGCUUGCGCUCCAGAAGACGACACUCCUCCGCCCAAGUGUCCCAGGGCCCGGGCACCAAACCGCUGGCGACAACCUCUGUGCUCCAGAGCCCGUGGAAGCGCUCAAACUCGCCAGUCCUAAACCUGUCCACACUGCGUACACCGCCUGGCUCAUUCCUUCCAGAAAAACCCCAGUAAAGGCUCUCCUCCAUGCUUUCACCUUGCCCUUCACGCCUCCUGCCCGGUCCUGGCGGUGCAGCGUCCCUCCUGUUUCUGGGGAAUUUGCAAGUGACUGUCUCUUUAAUGCCAGUUGUCUCCUCAUCUUUUGGCCCCGUCGUCCCUGAAUAGUAGCACCAUCUACGUUUUUAAAACACCAGCAACGCUCUCCAUCACACACCCACAAAGUGAGAAAGAAAGAGAAGGAAGGCCAAGACCUGUAAUCACUACUUCAAUCCAGAAGAAUCUGUGAAGAAGGGGGGGUAGGUGACCAGUAUUUUCUGACUCCGGACAUUGUCUAGGUCAGCUUCAAGAGCUUGUAAAGUGACACUAUAUCAAUCUCAUUUUCGUGAGGGGCAACUAAGACUCAGAGAAGUUAAAUAAUUUGUCCAAGGCCACGAAGCUACUCUAGUAGGCAAGAAGGCCAAGUUUAACCCAUUUUUGUUUCAUUAAUCGUCAAUGCCAAUGCCAACCCAACCCCGAGCUUUUGGUCUCACCCCCUGCCAUUUAUACCCCCACCUUCUGUGGGGAUUCCUCUGGGUUCUAUUCCAAACUAGCUUUGCUGUUUACCAAAUCCCCCAAAACCCGAGGACGGAGAUUUAUGGCACUGUGCUUCCGUCUAAAGGUACUUCAAACAAUCAGUCACUGAUUUUUCCAGAGUAUCUGCCAUACCCCUCUUCUCUGGGUUAUCUGCAAUGAGGAAUGAGAACGAUCCUGGGCAAGACAUGAUCUGCACAUGGGGAACUUACAAUCCAAUCUGGGCUAAACAACGACCACAGGGAGAGCGAGACCAGGGGACCACAGGGGACAAAUUAAUGAGCUGCCAAAUCGUGUGGCCCACAAUAUGCAAGGAGAAAGAGGGCAGGAGAAAUUGAGGACUUCCUGGAAUAGGUAAAGUUUGACUAGGACCUUAAAGGAUGGGGAGAAGUUGAGUAAAGAAAAAAAGAAUUAUUUUUAGAGGGUAUGGCGGUUUCUAAAAACUAAAAAUAUCGGGGCGCGCACCUGGAUGGCUCAGUCGGUUAGGCUCAGGUCACGAUC